ensembl:lncRNA
AUUUGUGCCAAAUACAGCCAAUAAAUUAUCCUUUCCAAUUUUUAAAAAGCUAAUGUUUACUUAAGUGACCUAGGAAAAGUAUUAUAAUGUCUAGAAUGUUUUUAUUGCAUUAAAGCACUUACCACUUUAUACGAAAUGCAGAUUUAAACAGAUAGAUACCAAGAGAGAAUGGACUUUGGAAUCAAUCUGUUGCAAAAUUGCUGACUCUUCUCUUAAACUUAUAGUUUAGUGGAAAAAUAAUAUAUGUACAUAAAAUGAUAAAUCAUCAGUAUUUGACUGUGCAUUGAAUUGUGUGUUAUGGUGUAUUAGAAAUCUUCACAGGAAGAAAUAAUUAAAGUGGGCUUGAGUAAUUGGGAAAGUAAUUAUGUCACAGGUAGGAGCAGCAGUCACCUUUUUGUUCUAUUCAGCCUCUCAGCGAAUUCGAUGAAGCUCACAUGUGCAUUCGGAGAAGGCAGUGGCACCCCACUCCAGUACUCUUGCCUGGAAAAUCCCAUGUACAGAGGAGCCUGGUGGGCUGCAGUCCAUGGGAUCGCUAAGAGUUGGAGACGAUGGAGUGACAUCACUUUCACUUUUCACUUUCAUGCACUGGAGAAGGAAAUGGCAACCCACUCCAGUGUUCUUGCCUGGAGAAUCCCAGGGAUGGGGGAGCCUGAUGGGCUACAGUCCAUGGUGUCUCAAAGAGUUGGACAGGACUGGGCAACUAACACUUAACACUGGGAUAGAGGAGAGAGCGUUUAGGCAGGAUACCAAUGGGAGUGAGUGUGCGGAGUGGUGUGUUCCUUUUCUAGGGCUGCCAUAACAAAAUACCACAAACUUGGUAGCUUAAAACAACUGGAAUUUAUUCUUUGCCAGAUCAGGAGGCUGAAAGUCUGAAAUUAAGGUGUGGGCAGGGCAACACUCCUUCUGAAGCCCCUGGGGAAGAAUAUUCCCUUGCCUCUUCCAGCUUCUGGUGGCUCCUGGCUCUCUUUGAUGUUCUUGGCUUAUAGCAGGGUCAUUCCACUCAGCCUCUGUCUUCACAUGGCCUUCUUUCCGGUGCAUUUGUGGGUCCUCUUCUCUUUUUUGAAGGACACAAGUCAUUGGAUUUGGAGCCCAUGCUACUCCUGCAUGGCCUCAUCUCAACUAAUUACAUCUGCAAUCCCCUAUUUCCAAAAAGGUCACACUCUGAAGUGAACAUGAAUCUAGAGGUGAGAGGGGCCUGUUCAAUUCACCGUAAAUGUUAACAGCACAUGGAAUGGUGUAGGUACCAUGCUCUUUGGGAAAAGGGAGUAAGUGGGAGAUCUUUGGGGGAAGAAAACGUGAGUUGUAGUUUAAACUACAUGAGUCUGAGGUGGCAUUUUUGGAUAUGUUUCAAUGACAAUAUGAAACUGUUUUAUUUCCUUGGAAGUAUUACCCAUUUCUAGGUCCCGUAAAGCACUUAGUUAUUGCCAUACCAAAAAUUAAGUAGGUCAUGGCUCUGUUGAAAUGUUCUUUCUUCUCUUUCAUAGAUUUAUAUCUUGCAGCUGUUUUCCAUGCUCUUCUGCAUCCUCCUUUUCUGUCUCAUAAUUAGCAUUGUCAUGGAACAGUACACAUUUAUUGAGUACCUAUUACACGCCCAGCACCAUGCUAAAUCUUUACACUUAAUCUUUAUAACAAUUUGAUGAUAAC